CCUACGGGGGGCUGCAGUGAGGAAUAUUGGUCAAUGGGCGCGAGCCUGAACCAGCCAAGUAGCGUGAAGGAUGACUGCCCUACGGGUUGUAAACUUCUUUUAUAAAGGAAUAAAGUGAGGCACGUGUGCCUUUUUGCAAGUACUUUAUGAAUAAGCAUCGGCUAACUCCGUGCCAGCAGCCGCGGUAAUACGGAGGAUCCGAGCGUUAUCCGGAUUUAUUGGGUUUAAAGGGUGCGUAGAUGGGUAGUUAAGUCAGUUGUGAAAGUUUGCGGCUCAACCGUAGAAUUGCAUUUGAUACUGGCAGCCUUGAGUACGGUUGAGGUAGGCGGAAUUCGUGGUGUAGCGGUGAAAUGCUUAGAUAUCACGAAGAACUCCGAUUGCGAAGGCAGCUUACUAAACUGCCACUGACGUUGAUGCUCGAAAGUGUGGGUAUCAAACAGGAUUAGAUACCCGAGUAGUC
rnacentral:rRNA from 1 species